GAAGAAGGUACGGAGUUGCGCGUUGUCAAUUAUAAAGUAAUUGUUAGAAUUCUUCGAUUUGUAGCAAAGCUUGACGAUGGCAGCGAGCAUCAAGUGGCCCAACAUGAUGUGGAGUUUGAGGUUAACAUGAAAUGUUUUACGGUUGAAAAAAUGACAGAAUUAAUUGGGUCCAAAAUUGUUUGGGGGAGUGGGCAGGAGGUUCAUAUUUUGUGCAAGGACAAGCAUUUUGAAUCAGUUGAGAGGAUUGAUAACUACUGGAAGUUGUUGACAUCAUUUCUCGAAAGAUGGGAAGAGAAAGAAUUGCUU
rnacentral:rRNA from 1 species